rnacentral:rRNA from 1 species
GACGAACGCUGGCGGCGUGCUUAACACAUGCGAGUCGAACGGAAAGGCCCUGCUUGCAGGGUACUCGAGUGGCGAACGGGUGAGUAACACGUGGGUGAUCUGCCCUGCACUUCGGGAUAAGCCUGGGAAACUGGGUCAAAUACCGGAUAGGAGCCAUUUUUAGUGUGAUGGUUGGAAAGUUUUUUCGGUGUAGGAUGAGCUCGCGGCCUAUCAGCUUGUUGGUGGGGUAAUGGCCUACCAAGGCGGCGACGGGUAGCCGGCCUGAGAGGGUGGACGGCCACAUUGGGACUGAGAUACGGCCCAGACUCCUACGGGAGGCAGCAGUGGGGAAUAUUGCACAAUGGGCGCAAGCCUGAUGCAGCGACGCCGCGUGGGGGAUGACGGCCUUCGGGUUGGAAACUCCUUUCGCUAGGGACGAAGCUUUUUGUGACGGUACCUAGAUAAGAAGCACCGGCUAACUACGUG